rnacentral:rRNA from 1 species
GCAUUAGUUAGUUGGUGGGUAAAGGCCUACCAAGACAAUGAUGCAUAGCCGAGUUGAGAGACUGAUCGGCCACAUUGGGACUGAGACACGGCCCAAAUUCCUACGGGAGGCUGCAGUAGGGAAUCUUCCACAAUGGGCGAAAGCCUGAUGGAGCAACGCCGCGUGUGUGAUGAAGGCUUUCGGGUCGUAAAGCACUGUUGUAUGGGAAGAAAAGUUAAGGUAGGGAAUGACCUUAGCCUGACGGUACCAUACCAGAAAGGGACGGCUAAAUACGUGCCAGCAGCCGCGGUAAUACGUAUGUCCCGAGCGUUAUCCGGAUUUAUUGGGCGUAAAGCGAGCGCAGACGGUUGGUUAAGUCUGAUGUGAAAGCCCGGAGCUCAACUCCGGAAAGGCAUUGGAAACUGGUUAACUUGAGUGCAGUAGAGGUAAGUGGAACUCCAUGUGUAGCGGUGGAAUGCGUAGAUAUAUGGAAGAACACCAGCGGCGAAGGCGGCUUACUGGACUGUAACUGACGUUGAGGCUCGAAAGUGUGGGUAGCAAACAGGAUUAGAUACCCUGGUAGUCCACACCGUAAACGAUGAACACUAGGUGUUAGGAGGUUUCCGCCUCUUAGUGCCGAAGCUAACGCAUUAAGUGUUCCGCCUGGGGAGUACGACCGCAAGGUUGAAACUCAAAGGAAUUGACGGGGACCCGCACAAGCGGUGGAGCAUGUGGUUUAAUUCGAAGCAACGCGAAGAACCUUACCAGGUCUUGACAUCCUUUGAAGCUUUUAGAAAUAGAAGUGUUCUCUUCGGAGACAAAGUGACAGGUGGUGCAUGGUCGUCGUCAGCUCGUGUCGUGAGAUGUUGGGUUAAGUCCCGCAACGAGCGCAACCCUUAUUGUUAGUUGCCAGCAUUCAGAUGGGCACUCUAGCGAGACUGCCGGUGACAAACCGGAGGAAGGCGGGGACGACGUCAGAUCAUCAUGCCCCUUAUGACCUGGGCUACACACGUGCUACAAUGGCGUAUACAACGAGUUGCCAACCUGCGAAGGUGAGCUAAUCUCUUAAAGUACGUCUCAGUUCGGACUGCAGUCUGCAACUCGACUGCACGAAGUCGGAAUCGCUAGUAAUCGCGGAUCAGCACGCCGCGGUGAAUACGUUCCCGGGUCUUGUACACACCGCCCGUCACACCAUGGAAGUUUGUAAUGCCCAAAGCCGGUGGCCUAACCGUAAGGAGGAACCGUUCUAAGGC